UACGUAGGCAGCGAGCGUUGUUCGGAAUUACUGGGCGUAAAGAGUGUGUAGGCGGUGUUCCCAGUCUGUUGUGAAAUCUCCCGGCUCAACUGGGAGCUUGCAGGCGAAACUGCCGUGCUGGAGUGUGGGAGAGGUGCGUGGAAUUCCUGGUGUAGCGGUGGAAUGCGUAGAGAUCCGGAAGAACACCGGUGGCGAAGGCGGCCUGCUGGGCAGUUGCUGACGCUGAAGCGCGACAGCGUGGGGAGCAAACAGG
rnacentral:rRNA from 1 species